rnacentral:rRNA from 1 species
AAUAUUGGACAAUGGGGGCAACCCUGAUCCAGCCAUGCCGCGUGUGUGAAGAAGGUCUUCGGUUUGUAAAUCACUUUAAGUAGGGAGGAAGGGCUUUAGGUUAAUACACUGAAGUUUUGACGUCACCCACAGAAUAAGCACCGGCACACUCUGUGCCAGCAGCCGCGGUAAUACAGAUGGUGCAAGUGUUAAUCGAAAUUACUGGGCGUAAAGCGAGCGUAGGUGGUUCAGUAAGAUGGGUGUGAAAUCCCCGGGCUUAACCUGGGAACUGCUUUCAUAACUGCUGGGCUAGAGUACGGUUGAGGGUAGUGGAAUUUCCUGUGUAGCGGUGAAAUGCGUAGGUAUAGGAAGGAACACCAGUGGCGAAGGCGACUACCUGGACUGAUACUGACACUGAGGUGCGAAAGCGUGGGGAGCAAAC